rnacentral:rRNA from 1 species
UGCAGGUCGAACGGUAAGGCCCUUCGGGGUACACGAGUGGCGAGCGGGUGAGUAACACGUGGGUGAUCUGCCCUGCACUUCGGGAUAAGCCUGGGAAACUGGGUCUAAUACCGGAUAGGACCAUGGACUUCACGGUUUGUGGUGGAAAGCUUUUGCGGUGUGGGAUGGGCCCGCGGCCUAUCAGCUUGUUGGUGGGGUAAUGGCCUACCAAGGCGACGACGGUAGCCGGCCUGAGAGGGUGUCCGGCCACACUGGGACUGAGAUACGGCCCAGACUCCUACGGGCGGCAGCAGUGGGGAAUAUUGCACAAUGGGCGCAAGCCUGAUGCAGCGACGCCGCGUGAGGGAUGACGGCCUUCGGGUUGUAAACCUCUUUCAAUAGGGACGAAGCGCAAGUGACGGUACCUAUAGAAGAAGCACCGGCCAACUACGUG